rnacentral:rRNA from 1 species
CCUACGGGUGGCAGCAGUGGGGAAUAUUGCACAAUGGGGGAAACCCUGAUGCAGCGACGCCGCGUGAGUGAAGAAGCGUUUCGGCGCGUAAAGCUCUGUCAGCGGGGAAGAAACACGGUUCGCGAGAGCCGCGGACGGUACCCGACCAAGAAGCCCCGGCUAACUACGUGCCAGCAGCCGCGGUAAUACGUAGGGGGCAAGCGUUAUCCGGAUUCACUGGGUGUAAAGGGAGCGUAGACGGCGAGACAAGUCUGGAGUGAAAGGCCGGGGCCCAACCCCGGGACUGCUCUGGAAACUGCCUGGCUGGAGUACAGGAGAGGUAAGUGGAAUUCCUGGUGUAGCGGUGAAAUGCGUAGAUAUUAGGAGGAACACCAGUGGCGAAGGCAGCAUACCGGCGCCCGACUGACGCUGAGGCACGAAAGCGUGGGUAUCGAACAGGAUUAGAUACCCGAGUAGUC